UGGGGAAUUUUGGACAAUGGGCGCAAGCCUGAUCCAGCAAUGCCGCGUGCAGGAUGAAGGCCUUCGGGUUGUAAACUGCUUUUGUACGGAACGAAACGGCGAGCUCUAAUACAGUUUGCUAAUGACGGUACCGUAAGAAUAAGCACCGGCUAACUACGUGCCAGCAGCCGCGGUAAUACGUAGGGUGCAAGCGUUAAUCGGAAUUACUGGGCGUAAAGCGUGCGCAGGCGGUUAUGUAAGACAGAUGUGAAAUCCCCGGGCUUAACCUGGGAACUGCAUUUGUGACUGCAUAGCUAGAGUACGGUAGAGGGGGAUGGAAUUCCGCGUGUAGCAGUGAAAUGCGUAGAUAUGCGGAGGAACACCGAUGGCGAAGGCAAUCCCCUGGACCUGUACUGACGCUCAUGCACGAAAGCGUGGGGAGCAAACAGGAUUAGAUACCCUGGUAGUCCACGCCCUAAACGAUGUCAACUGGUUGUUGGGUCUUCACUGACUCAGUAACGAAGCUAACGCGUGAGGUUGACCGCCUGGGGAGUACGGCCGCAAGGUUG
rnacentral:rRNA from 1 species